UACGGAGGGUGCGAGCGUUGUCCGGAAUCAUUGGGCGUAAAGGGCGCGUAGGUGGCCUGCUAAGCGUGCGGUGAAAGCUCGGGGCUCAACCCCGAGUCGGCCGUGCGAACUGGUGGGCUUGAGCACUGUAGAGGCAGGCGGAAUUCCGGGUGUAGCGGUGGAAUGCGUAGAGAUCCGGAAGAACACCGGUGGCGAAGGCGGCCUGCUGGGCAGUAGCUGACACUGAGGCGCGACAGCGUGGGGAGCAAACAGGAUUAGAUACCCUGUAGUCC
rnacentral:rRNA from 1 species